UACGAAGGGGGCUAGCGUUGCUCGGAAUCACUGGGCGUAAAGCGCACGUAGGCGGACUCUUAAGUCGGUGGUGAAAGCCCGGAGCUCAACUCCGGAAUUGCCUUUGAAACUGUCAGGCUCGAGUACGGGAGAGGUGAGUGGAAUUCCCAGUGUAGAGGUGAAAUUCGUAGAUAUUGGGAAGAACACCGGUGGCGAAGGCGGCUCACUGGCCCGUUUCUGACGCUCAGGCGCGACAGCGUGGGGAUCAAACAGG
rnacentral:rRNA from 1 species